UGAGUUAAAUAUAACUUAAGCUCCAUCAACAUUCUCCAUCGCAUGCUGUUGAUUACAACAGGAAAUGUACUUUAAAAAAAAAAAAAAAAGCAUGUCGCUGCUUAUAAUGCAGCUCCAUUUUUCUCAAUGAACUUGCUUUGUAAGUGGAUUUCAAUCAACAUAUUUGGUUUUCAAAUUUGUUUCCAAGCUGUCAGACAAGUAUUUCUGUUAUAAACUAAAUUAUGCUACAGAGUUGCACCAUAGUUUAAAGGGACAGUUCACCCAAAAAUGAAAAUUGUCAUUUGUCAAAAUGGUCAUCCUGAUGUUGUUCCAAACAUGUAUGACUUUUUUUCAGUGAGACACAAAAUAAAAUAAUUUGAUGAAUGUUUUUGUUCUUACAGUGAAUGUCAGUGGGGUCCAAAACAGCAUUUGGACUCUACUGAUCACAAAGAGACAUUUUUCGAAAUAGUCCAAAUUCAUAAUAAUAUUUUAUGUUCAGUUUAGGUAUUAUAAAUAUUCUAAUAUUUUCUUUUGUGUUCCACAGGGAAAAAAAAUUGAGUAAAUUGUCCCUUUAAAUCUGAUUUAACUCAGAAUGUAGUAGUUUAGGGUGCAAAGGUUUUGAGAAUUAUCCAUCUCAUUUUAAUCCAGAUCACUUGUUCUGUUUAAGAAGACAAUGGCAUGAUUUAGCCCACUGAAUUUGCAAUGUUUCCUGUCAAAAUGCACGUAUUUCGCUCCUGGCAUUGAAAUGCCAUAUUGAUUGUGCGUAGUUUAUAUUUGGAGCCAUCAAAAACUUGACUCGGGCCUUAGAGCGCCACUGAAACUUGACCCAGGCCUCUUCGGUGUGGUGUAUAUCCCACCCAGAGCACAAUUCAAGAGGGUUGUUAUUCGUUUCCUAUGCGGACUCCAGGUCGUGUUACUUAGCUAUUAGUAUAGCCCGAAGUUUAACAACUGCCUUUCCAAAUCACUGUGCUGUUCUUGAGCCAUGUUAAACCCCUAAAGUGACAGGCCAGGCCCGGAAUGAGCGCCUGUGGGGAUGCUCGAGGAUUUUGCGAAGUCCCGUCUCACAGGCGUGUCCGUAAUCCUCCGGGGCUGUGUGACAUAAUGCGGUGAGGAGAUUAUCUCCCGUGCCAGUUUUGCAAAAGGAGGUUAGCAGAAAAAAAGCCGGUGUACAGUUACCUGCGGCGCUACUUAAGCAGUCUCCUGUCUGUCCCAAACGCCCGCCUUGUUACCCUUACAACACUGGCCCAGCAAGACUAAGCUAUGGUUUUAUAUGCUAACUCUGACAGCUGACUGUUAUACUGCUGAGCUAGAACCACAUGCGCCUAGGACGAGAGUGUGUACGACGCACACUGCGAUUGUCAAACACUUUAUACCACACAAGCACCUUUUGAUUUUCACAUUCGAUUCACGCUGCUUAACUUAUGUGAAACGCUUUAAGAACUUCAUCUCAGAUGUUAGCUACGACUGAUCUGCCUUAUCUUACGUUAAUGCUUCUUUGCCGCUUCAUACGUAAAUCGACUUUGUAAAUUGUUACAAAAAGUACAAGCUUGAUGCAUUCAUUGUCAGGGAUUGCGGUUGGGUUUUCAUCACAUGUUAGACUUAGUAAUUAAGUCACAGUUCCAGCCUGCAUGAGUUAGACAAGGACACCAAAACAAAGUAUGUUCUAAUUGGAAUAAAUAAAUGUGAACACUGAUUAGUUCCGUCCAGGUGUUUGGAUAAUGCUUCUUUUUAUCAGACUUGUGCUGUGUGGCUCACAAUUAUGAAAAGCCAAACAUGCAUGUAAAAUCAACUCCCCUGAUCUUUAAUAUGCCGUUUUGGUGGAUUUUUUUUGAAGACAUGUGACUUGAGAUUAUUUCACAUGUAGUCUAUGUUUGGCUCAAAUGCAGCUUUGUCUGUUAGAAACAUGGAAACAGUCACGCUCUUCUAAGUAUGUGAAGCCUAAGGAGAGGUAGUAGAUCUAACACUGUAUUAAAACACCAUCUAUGACUAUAUAAAUGUGGUCCGCUCCAAAACAGAAUGAAGAUGUUGUGCAUAAAGUGCAAAUUAUGCAUAUUCCCUCUCGACUUGUACCAGUGUGAAAUAUUUUUAGCUUAUAUCAUGUUUUCAUUUUUAUGUCACAAAUGUCUUUUUUAUAAAGAGUAUAUAUUACAGUAUUAAAUAAAAAAUGUCUUCUGUU
ensembl:lncRNA